UGUUAGAAUAUGUGAGCAGGAUGCGCAGACCAACAUCAUGUCGUUUCACUUUGCUAAAAAGAAAGCAAACGUUUUUUGCCAAUUAUAUAGAAACAAAUCUGUGAAAUUAAUUCAGAUAAAAAUAAUCCAGAAUUUCCAUGACAUCUGAACUGUGCUUGUCAUUUGACUCUGUCACUUAGCUAAAACAAAACAAAGAAGACUGGGCUUUGAGGCUCAAAGUAUACAAAGCUAAUUGAAGGUGUAAAAAUGAAAUAAGACAGAAUAUCAAAAUUGUGUCGUUGGGGGACGUGAACUGUACGUGCAGACUAACAUCAACGUCAUGACAUGUGACUGCUUCACUUUACCAAAAAGAAAAACGACAACAUUUGUGUCAAAAAAUAUGAACCUCGAAAGAAGUGUAACAAAACUUUGAUGGAAGAGCUUUUAAAACUAACUUGUCGAGCUUGUGUGAACAGCGCGUCAAGUUGUCAUGUUGCGUGACCGCUUUACUUCACCAAAAAGAGAAUAAUGUCAACAUAAGGUAAAGAAUCUCAGCUGUGCUUGUCGUGUUCAUUAUAUGUACACAAGUAGAAAGUUCUUUGCGCAUGCAGGUACAUUUCAUCUUAAAUUACGGCGUUACCGUAACAGCUGACAAAAGUGUCUCUGAUGUUUAAUCGGGGGGUAAAAAUGUCAAACGCCGUCCUCGUCCCUUCUUCGGUGUUUAUGGCUAAAAAUGUCUUGACACGCACACGUGACAAAAACAGGACAACGGGACCACAGAGGUGUGCGUGCGUGUGUGUGUACAUUAAAGACACAAAGGUUCUGUAAUGUCUCCCCAAAAGUUCAGGAUGGGGGACUUCUGUGCUGCAAAGUCUGGAGAUGUGCUUGCUGUUGCCACGGCGACCAAGCGCUUAUAUCCCAUCACAGUGUCAGGUGGCAGAGCCGGUCCAAGCCUCCAUCGGGCAACAUUUGAUUCGACUUUGGUCCAUGCACUAGUAUGCUUUGUACUCACUAGUAAGACGAUUCAGCGCAGUAGUAAAACAAACUUGUCGUGCUAUUCACGUUUUUUUUCCAUACUAAAAGUGCCAGAUGUCAACUAGUAGAAUAUUUUGUGAUGAGUACUACUACUACCAGUAGUGGUAAGAAAGUUGUUUUCCAAGUGGACUGAGUUGUUUUGGCAACAGAGAGUGUACUAGUACAUGGACCUUGAGCUCAAACGGCUUUCAUUGGGCCCUCGAUUUCUGCCAAUAAUGUUGAUUCUUGAUCAUUCGUUGUUGAUUUUUGAACAAAUACAUAGAACUGAACUGAGGUACCUGGAAUAAGGUGAAAAAGCACACACACACACACACACACACACACACACACACACACACACACACACACACACACACACACACACUCUUCCUUAGAGCAUAUGAGAUGUGCAUUAACAUACCCGGAACACACACUACAAUUAAAAAACACACACACUCACACACAGGGGGUACACAAACAUGCACAUGAAAUAUGGAUGCACAAAAUAGAAAUAAUUCGCUGCUAAAGCUCGGUAAAAAUGUGCAAAAGCUUUAGUUAAAGAAACACUGUAAAUAAAACCUGAUCUAAACAAUCUUUUUUAUGUUACUCUGUUCCUCCCCAAUAAUGCC